UACGUAGGGUGCGAGCGUUAAUCGGAAUUACUGGGCGUAAAGCGUGCGCAGGCGGUUUUGUAAGCCAGGUGUGAAAUCCCCGGGCUCAACCUGGGAAUGGCAUUUGUGACUGGCGGGCUAGAGUACGGCAGAGGGGGGGUGGAAUUCCACGUGUAGGCAGUGGAAAUGGCGUAGAGAUGAUGGAGGAACACCGAUGGCGAAGGCAGCCCCCUGGGCUAGUGACUGACGCCUCGAUGCACAAAAGCGUGGGGAGCAAACAGGA
rnacentral:rRNA from 1 species